GACGAACGCUGGCGGCGUGCUUGACACAUGCAAGUCGAACGAUGAAGCCGGAGCUUGCUCCGGUGGAUUAGUGGCGAACGGGUGAGUAACGCGUGAGCAAUCUGCCCUUGACUCUGGGAUAACUGCGGGAAACUGUAGCUAAUACCGGAUACGACACCUUGGGGCAUCCCAGGGUGUGGAAAGAAUUUCGGUCAAGGAUGAGCUCGCGGCCUAUCAGCUAGUUGGUGAGGUAAUGGCUCACCAAGGCGACGACGGGUAGCCGGCCUGAGAGGGUGACCGGCCACACUGGAAAUGAGACACGGUCCAGACUCCUACGGGAGGCAGCAGUGGGGAAUAUUGCACAAUGGGCGAAAGCCUGAUGCAGCAACGCCGCGUGAGGGAUGAAGGCCUUCGGGUUGUAAACCUCUUUUAGCAGGAAAGAAGCGAAAGUGACGGUACCUGCAGAAAAAGCACCGGCUAACUACGUGCCAGCCGCCGCCGUAA
rnacentral:rRNA from 1 species